rnacentral:lncRNA from 1 species
UAAUAAUCAUGGGUUAUUAAUUACUUCUGCAAGAAACUUAAAUCCUCAGUGUGACACAACUCAGUCCUUCUACUGCAGCAGCUCUUUUAUAAAUGCCUCCCAAAGCUCCAAGAAGGAACAAAGAAUGUGACCCAGUAAGAUCACACCAUGAGUCUAUAUUGCAGAAACCUUUGUUCAACAAAACUGCAGAUGCUCUGUUGAAUCCACUGGAGAUUGUUCUGAUACUAAGGACAAGUAUCAAACAUCUUUCCUGUGAAAAAUUCCCUCUCCUAGUACUUUAGUUCUGUGGAUCCAAAAUUUAUAGCAUUCUUCUACCACCACAGGGGCUCAUAUGACAUUAACAGACAAGACACUUUUCAGAAAGACAGGUUGUUCUUUUGGGCCACAUCUAAGAAAUCUUUGUCUAGCCAAAAGCCACAAAUAAUUUCUCAUUUUUUGGCUUCUGGAAGAUGUACAGUUAAAUGUUAUAUUUGGGACUGUUAUCUAAUUUGGUUAAAUUGCACUCUACAAUAUGGUAUUUGAAUUGAUGAAAAAUUAGUAAAUGUUAAUAUUUUUUAAAGUAGCCAAAUCUUGCAAUUUAUAUAUAAUAGAGAAGACUAGAAAAUCCCCCAUAUUUAUUUCCUCUUACUUCGUACUACUAAAAUUUGUAUUUAGGCAUUUGGUUUCUCAGAUAAACAUUACAUUCCCCAGUAUAUGGUUCUAUCUGGCUUGGUGACGACAUGUUGAACAUUAAGAUGUGAGCAGAAGUAAUACAUACACACUCUUUUUCAUGUCUUUAAUUGAAUGGGAUAUUGGCCCAUUUUUUCUUCCAGUUUAUUACACUGAAUAUUGACAUGUUAUUUUCCAAUAUUGAGACAAUCAAUGACAAGACUUUAAGAGUAACAAUGUAAAAAUACAGAAGUUGUCUGAGUUUAUCAACAAUCCCCUGGAUUAGAACCCCCUACCAGUUCUAGGUCAUCUAAUAUAUAGACAUUGUGUUCAGUAGAAAUAAAUAUAUAUAUUUUUUAUUAUGCUUUAAGUUCUAGGAUACAUGUGCACAACAUGCAGUUUUGUUACAUUGGUAUACACGUGCCAUGUUGGUUUGCUGCACCCAUUAACUCAUCAUUUACAUUAGGUAUUUCUCCUAAUGCUAUCCCUCCCCCUGCCCCCACCCCCGACAGGCCCUGGGGUGUGAUUUUCCCCACCCUGUGUCCAAGUGUUCUCAUUGCUCAAUUCCCACCUAUGGGAAUACAUUUUUAAAUCAUUUUUAAAGGUGUUAUUACAUUCUGAUUGAACAUUUUCAGAAAGAAUAAAUAAUUUAAUACAAGAAGUGGGCCACUUCAUGUAACAAAACAAACCACCACUACAGCAACAACAACAAAAAACACUAAUGAAUGUGACUUUAGCUUUGCAACAUCGUGACAGACUAGCAAGUUAAUGACAUUUGUUAUGCCAUAGAAAAUAUUUGUUGAAUUGCCACUCUAAUGACUUUAUAUCAGCCAACUCAUUAUCAACACUAGAAAAGAUGAUUAAAAAAUACUUCAGUACGUUCACGUGUUGGCUUGUUAACAUUUUUAAGAGUCUAUAAGAGAAAAAUGCAUCCAAUCUUGACAAAAAUAUUUUUCAAGUAUCUUGUAGGUACGUACAACUAACUACCUUGUGAACAAAAGUCACUAUAUAAUUAUAUAAUUUCUGACACUUAAAAAAGUUUAUUGUGCUAAAGAAGAUAUAUGUUCUAAUACCAAAUCCACAUAUAAAAUAAUUGACUUAAAUAAUUUAAGAUGCUCUUUUAUAUAUUUAUAUUAAAAACUUUACAGAGAAUAAAAAAAGCAUUAUACAGGCUACUUAUGGUUUUUGAUGUUUGGAUCUACAAUACAUGUAUCAAAGAUUGUGGAAAUAAAUCAAACAAUAUAUUCAAUUGGACUUAAUUGCAUUAUUACAUGCCAAGUGUCGUAUACCAUCUAUUUGCACAUAACACUUUUUAAUUUAGGUAAAAUUAUUAUCAUAAAGCUACAUGAAUUUAUUUUAUUCCAUGUUAUUAUUUAUGUAUUGUUAGGAACAUUUGCUUAAAAAUCAUAUUUGGACAUAGUUAGUAUCAGAUACUUUACAUCCUUUGAAUCAGUUAUUUUAUAACAGUAUAUACUAAACAUCAUUACUCCUUUUCAAACAUAAAUAACGCAAUACAAAUUGGACAAAAAAUUCAGGAAAGAUCUGGGAUCAAAAAGGAGGUAUUGAAACAUCACAUGUACUCCAUAAUUAUAUACAAAUAUUUUGUACCCAUAAUAUUUAAAAUACAGAAAAUUAAAAGGUGCAUUUUCCUCAAAGUGCAUGCUUCUUUUGCUAUGCAAAACUGCAAGAUAUGGAAAGAAGUGUAUUAAAACACUAAAUCACUUUAUGUGGAAGAUAAAAGGGAUGGUACCCAAUGUAAGACUUCAUGUAGUGCACUGAUACAUUCAAUACAAAUGAUGUAUUAACUUCAAGAUAACAUGAGAAAGUUAAAUUAUCUAACUUAUUUCAAACUAGGGGAUAGUAUGUUCUCAUUAUUAGAAGCCAGAAUUCUGCUUAUCCAUUUCUAUUAUUAGAAAAAAACAUAAUUUUUAUUCUUGUCUUAAAAAUAGACACCAUGAUAUCAUUCUCUGUAAAUGCAGCAUGAUAGUCUGUUUACAGAGUUUAUAUCAUUCCAAGACUGCACUUCUAAAGUGAGAAAAUAUUAAAGGAUAUAAACUCACUCCUCUCUACAAAAUUCCUUAUUUUUUAUGCAAUGGCUUUAAAAUGUAUGGAAGGGGAGUUAUGGAAACAAUCCAUACCUGGAAAGCAUUCUAUCCAUGCCUUUGAAAUGGUUAUCUAGUACUAGAUUCUUAUCAGUGCCUAGCUAUGUAAUGUGUGUAGCUUAAGAUUUUUAAGAAAGAAGGAUAAAAUGCUCAAUAUAAAUUUAAAAAGCACUUUUAUUGGAAUAUUGAAUCAUAUAUUUGCUUUCUGUAAGUCCUUUUAUCUAUAAAAUAAUAGUUGAGAAAGGCAAAUAGAAUAUGUGGAGGAAUUAAAAAUUCAGUUGUAGGGUGGUAAAUGAAAACCAAAUUUUUCAUUCACCACAUUAAAUGUAAAUGGGUAUUAUACUCAAUUUAAGCAGCAAAGUUGCUUUUUUUUUUUUUUUUUUUUUUGAGACAGAGACUCACACUGUCGCCCGGGCUGGAGUACAAUGUUGCCAUCUCGCUUCACUGCAACCCCUGCCUGCUGGGUUCAAGCCAUUCUCCUGCCGCAGCCUCCCGUGUAGCUUCUUAAGAUGUGAAGAUUUUUAAAUUAAGAUGACUCUUGGGAUGAACCAUCUUGUGUUGGUUAAAGACUUUUACUGACAUAUUUUUAAUAAUUUUUUUAACUUUUAUUUUCAGGUCAAUGGCACAUGCGUAGGUUUGUUAUGUAGGUAAACUAGUGUCACAGGGAUUUGUUGUGCAGAUUAUUUCACCACCCAGCUAUUAAGCCUAGUACCCAUUAAUUGUUUUUCCUGAUCUUCUGCUUCCUCCCACCAUCCACCCUCCCAGAGGCCCCAGUGUCUGUUGUUUCCCUCUAUGUGUUCAUGUGUUCUCAUAAUUUAGCUCCCAUUUGUAAAUGAGAACAUGCAGUAUUUGGUUUUCUGUUCCUGCAUUAGUUUGUUAAGGAUAAAGACCUCCAUCCAGCUCCAUCCAUGUUCCUGCAAAGGACUUGAUCUCACUCUCUUUUAUGGCUGCCUAACAUUCCAUGGUGUAUAUGAACCACAAAAUAAAGAUGGUUCUUAACUUUUAAAUUAAGAUUUUUAAAUUAAGAUGAAUCUUGAUUUUUAAAUUAGUAUGGUUUUAAGAUAGUUUUACAGAUAGAUUAGAUAAUCUAUCUAGAGAUAGACAGGGAGAGAUAUCUAUCAAUACAUAUCUCUAUCUAGAUAUAGAUAGAUGGUUUUCUAUAUAGACCUAUCUAUCUAUAUAUGUAUACAUCUAUAUAUGUCUACACAUAUCUCUAUACACAUAUAUAUAUUUAUAUCUACAUCUAUAUUUCUACAUGUAUAUAGGUAUGUAUAUAUCUACAUGUAUAUAUGUAUAUAGAUAGAUAUAUACAUAGGUAUCUGUAUAUAUGCAUAUACAUGCCUAUCUUUAUCUACAUGUAUAUAGAUAUCAUAUACACACAUAGAUAUAUAUAUAUAUCGGCAUGUAGAUAUUUAUGUAGAUAUACAUAUAUAGAUAUCUGCAUAUAUACAUUUGUAUAUAUAGACAUAGAUAUAAAUAUUAAUAUAUCUAUAUAUGUAUAUAAAUACAUAUACAUAUCUGUAUCUGUAGAAGAUAUCUACUAUCUUCUAUCUAUAUAUCUAUCUAUAGAACCAUCUUAAUUUAAAAACCUUUCAUAUAUGCAUAUAAAAGGUAAUCAAACACAAGCCAAAUGAAAAUUUGUUUAGCUAUGUUAAUAUCAGACAAAAGAGAUUUUAAGGCAGAAAUUAUUACUUGAAAGGAAGAUGUAUCCAUCAUCCAUAUAAAAGAAUCAACUAUUGAGGAAGUUGUCAAACUUGUGUAUGUAUAUUCACUCACACACAGUUAACACACAUUUACAAUUUUUAUAGAACUAAAAGGAGCAAUAGCCGCGUCUUCAAUCAUAAAGACUUUAAUAUACCUUUUUCAAUAACUGAUAGCAAAAAGGAUACAAAAUAUCAAUAAUAAUAGAAAAAUUUAAAGCAGUAGGAUUAAAUACUUUGAUAUAAAAACUGCACCCAAAAAUAGCAAAACACACAAUUUAUUAUAAUGUAUUUGGAACGUGUUUCAAAAUUUACCAUAGCUAUCUAUAGAUAUCUCUGUCUAUCUAGGUAGAUAGAUAAUAGAUAGGUAGGUAGGUAGAUAGAUAGAUAGAUAGAUAGAUAGAUAGAUAGAUAGAUAGAUAGGUUAGAUAGACAGAUAUAGGCUGAGGUUAGGCCCAAAACAAGAAUCAAUAAAUACCAAAAAUUUGAAAUCCUUGACAGUGUUUUUUGUACAACAAUGUUAUUAAGCUGCAAAUCUAUAGCAAGACUUUGAAAGUGACCAAAUGUUUAGAAAUUAAGCAUCACAUUUCUAAGUUAUUCAUGGAUCGAAAAAGUAAUUACAGUGAAUAUUAAAAUAUAUUUUGAAUUUAAUAAAAACGAAAGUAAAAAUACUGCUUGUUAAAAGAUGGGAGGCUUAGGCAAACCUCAGCUUGGAGAUAAAUGCAUAUGCUUACAUAAAUAUGUUUAAAAAAUUAAAGCUUGAAAAUUAAUAAUCUAAUUGUCAAUUUCAAAAAUUUAAAAUGUGAUGUCAAAUUAAAUCCAAAGAAUUAGAAAAGAGAAGAUACAUAAGAAGCAUGAGAAAAGGAAACAAUCAUAAAAUAAAUGAAAUCAGCAAAAGCCAAAGUUACUUUGAAAAGACUGAUAAAAAUAUACCAUGAUUAUGCAUGAAAUUUAAAAAAAAGAGUAUCCACAAAUUCUAAAUAUCAUGAAUAAUAACAAGGAAAUCAUUAUAGAUUCUAUAGUCAUGGGAGAGAAAAAGAGAAUGUAAUAAGUAACUUUAAGUCAAAAAUUUUGAAAUAAUUUGAUGAAAUAGAUACAUUUCUAGAAAAUCAUUAAUAGUGACACAAGAAUAAAUAGCAAAUCCUAAUAGCUCUAUAUCUAUUAAAAAUAAAAUUACAAUUAAAGCUUUCCAAAUGUAGUGAGUCUAAAUCAAAUAAAAUAUUAAAAAUCUGAAAUGUUUCCAGGAAGAAACAUUGAAUUCCUAAUAUAAAAUGUAACAUAUCAUAUGCAAUCCCUUUACUGAAAAUUGUGAAAUUUUACUGAGAGAAAUUAAAGAUAUUCAACAGAAAUAAAGGUGUACUGUGAGUCCUAUGUCAUUCCUGGUAUUAGAAGAAAGAUUCAGUAUUUUAAAUAAAUCUAUAUUUGUAAUACACUGAAAAUCACAAUACUGUGAUUAGUAAUAGCAUAAUUUGUCUGCAUUAUAUUUGGUGGCAACUGAAAAACUGACUAUAAAAUGCAAAUAAAAAUGCAGUGUAUAGAUAACUUUGAAGAAAAAAUAUAAUGUGAAGACUUACACUAUUAGAUAUAAAGUUUUUAUAAAUGUAUAUUAAUUAUGACAUUAUGGAAAAGGUGCAAGUAUAGAUAUUUCAAUGAAACAGAAUAGAGAGCUCGUAAAGAGAACCACACAAUAUAUUUAGCUGAUUUGUGAAAAAAAUAGUGCUUCAGUACAAUGAGGAAAAGAUUCAUUUUCAAUAAAUUGUGCUGUCUUUCAUACAUCGGUACAGAUAAAAAUGAAUAUUAACAUCCAACCUCACAACAUACACAAAAAUUAUUUCAUAUAGAAGCCAAUGUGUAACAUAAAACAGUACAGUUUUUAAAAAGUAAUACAGAGGACACUUCUAUGACCUUAAGAUUUUAAAAAAGACUCAAAAAGUAACGAUUGAAGGCUAAUAAAUAAGAUAAAUAAGUUAAUAAAUAGUAAUAAAAUAACAUAAAAAAUAAGGAUUUGUAAUCAUAAAAUAACUCACUGAGAGUGAAAAGGCAAGCAACAGAAUGGGAAAUGAAAUUUGCAAACAUAAAUACAAUAAGAACUCUUGAUCAAAAGAUACUUUUUAAACUCUACAAAUGAAUUUUUUGAAAAAAAAAAUAUGGCCAGGUACAGUGGCUCACGCCAUUAAUCCCAGCACUUUGGGAGGAACACUUGAGCCCGAGAAUUU